UACAGAGGGUGCAAGCGUUAAUCGGAAUUACUGGGCGUAAAGCGUGCGUAGACGGUUACAUAAGUCGGGUGUGAAAGCCCCGGGCUCAACCUGGGAAUUGCAUUCGAGACUGCGUAGCUAGGGUGCGGAAGAGGGAAGCGGAAUUUCCGGUGUAGCGGUGAAAUGCGUAGAUAUCGGAAGGAACACCAGUGGCGAAAGCGGCUUCCUGGUCCAGCACCGACGUC
rnacentral:rRNA from 1 species